rnacentral:lncRNA from 1 species
UUCAGAGCGAGAGAAAAAGAGUGUGAUGAUAUUUUCUGAGGAGAUGAAGAUGGAAACCUGCAGCCCAUGGUCAACUCGAGAAAAUGAGUUUUAUACAGCAUGAGAGAACACACUUCCACACCAUCAGUUAAGAUUUAACAGUCAUCAGCACCUGAUGUGUGAAAAGAAAAAAAAAGUAGAGAGAAAAUGCACAAAAGCUAAGACAAUCUGUGUGGAUUUCACUGUCUGCUUAUCUAAUGCUGCAAUGAGUAGCUAUUAAAGUCCAGCCAGAUCUACAGGAUACAGGGAAGUAAACAGCCUAUCAUCCCUGAGUGUGCCAGUACUCUUCUCUAUUAGGAUUCAGAAUGGCCCACCUG